GUCCACGCCCUAAACUAUGUCAACUGGUUGUCGGGGAAGCAAUUCCUUGGUAACGAAGCUAACGCGUGAAGUUGACCGCCUGGGGAGUACGGCCGCAAGGUUAAAACUCAAAGGAAUUGACGGGGACCCGCACAAGCGGUGGAUUAUGUGGAUUAAUUCGAUGCAACGCGAAAACCUUACCUACCCUUGACAUGUACGGAAUCCCCCAGAGAUGGGGGAGUGCCCGAAAGGGAACCGUAACACAGGUGCUGCAUGGCUGUCGU
rnacentral:rRNA from 1 species